GAUAAUUUGAUAAAAUGAUCUGAUAUUGCUUUCCUUUAGUUCGAUUUUGAGGAUUCCUGAGUUUCUCUGUGAUUUGGAUCCUAAUUGAGCUGAAGACUAUGUAGUGUGGUUUAAUGCUAAUUUGAAUUUCGUUUGCUUGAGAUCUAGUGAAUUCGCUGUGCUUCUGGAUACUUGUGUGUUACAUUUGGAGGUUUUUCAUGAAAUGCAACAUUUGAGAUUAGCGAUUCAACUUGAAAAACAAAGAAAAAAAAUCUCUAACGAUUGGUUUCACUACUACACAUGUACUCUUUAAUGACAGAAAAUUUAUGGCAUUUUACACAAAACGUCAUAAAAGACAUUUAUAGAUGUCAUCGGUAAAAUCUCCAGAUAUGAACUCUCUUUUGCCAAUUUAAGGAGAUUUUAUGUUGGGUUUUCUGAUGUUAUAUGUCCGAAAUUGGAGAGGAAUCAAUGUGUAGCCACCUUAUUAUAGUUUCUAUCUCUAUCUCUAAUGGGUCUCCAUUUGCAGAUUAGGGUUUUGACUGUUUGUCGCUCCGGCUGCUAUUGGGAUUGGUUUAUCAAUCUCAGUGCUUUCAUUUAUCCACUUGUUACUCAGGACGGACGAGAUUAAGAACAAGGAAGGUCUUGGUGAACAAUGAGAAAGAGUAUCUUCAAAAGAUGAAUGCAGAUUCUGGCCCAUUGUCGUCCAAAGACAAGCAGAAAGAAUGAGAUUAUAGUUGUGCUCUGCUGCAAAGCAUUUCCGUGGUGUAAAGAAAGAUACAACUAUAGAAGAGUUAAAUAAAUAUUCUUACUUGGACAUCUGCAAAUCAAUACUAAUUCCACUAGUUGGAAGUUUUCAAUUUUCAAGUGUGCAAAGUGCUACAUGACCAGGGGUGGUUAUUUUCACAUGAUCCAUUCUGGAGGCCUGCACAAAUGAAGACACUUUUACAUUAUGUUCCUGCAGGGAGGGUGGUAGUCCUUGAUCUGUUUGCUGAUA